AGUUUCCUGUGUUGUGGGUUUUACAUGGUAUACUGUGGACUUUGAAGCGCUGAUCCAUCAAAGGUGGCUUUGGUGAAGGCGAAGGUGGUGGCAGCAGCAUCGCCUGCAAAAAACUGAUCGUCAGAGGCACUGAGAAAGAGGCGAAGAGAUGUACUGUGUCGGAAGGCACUUCCCAGAGGAAUCUCUGCGUUUGGAAGAGACAGCUCGAUGCCGCGGCGCUGCAGUCGUCCCAUCUUUCGGGAAAGGUGGACCUGACGGUAACGACGGACACACAAAUGGAAAAGCUCGGCAAUUUGGCAAUGCUGUGGAGCUGAAAGGUGUACCGGAGGAGGAAUCGGGUGUCACCGUUAGGGCUUCAGUCACUGGAGUGGCGAUCAAGGGGGGCGUCAAGUGUGCCCUGUGCCCCGUAUAUGACGACUUGCAGCGCCUUGGCAUGGAUCUGUCUCUCCCAGACGCAGAUUGAUCUGGGCAGUGCCAUUGCAUUACAGACUUAUUCAUGAACGAACCUUCCUGCCUGCCGGUACACAAAUUUAUGUGGUGCUUUUAUGCGUUCUCCAGAACCUAUUUAUAAAUAGUUUUAUGUAAGCUGUCGCAAGUUUGUCUUGGUUCUCAUGAUGGUCCUUUAUGGGGUGUGCUUUGGUGAAUGCGUUUUUAGGAUGCUAUCUAUUUUUUUCUUUUUCUUUUUUUUCCACACCAUGCAGUGUUUGCCAUGCGCGAAACUUUUAAAUAAUAUAAUUUAUCCGUCUCUUUUUAGCCGAGGAAGAUUAACAUGUCCAAAUUUGUGUAUAUAAAGUGUGUGUGUGUAUAUUAUACGAUUUUGGUAGAAUAUUUGCAUCAUUUGUGAAUAACUGCGUAACUCCAG